AGGUUGCGAGACAAGAAAACACACCCAGUGUAGUAUGUGUUGCACCGAAACUCACUCCUUCAAGUGGAAUACACAAACGACAAGCUCAUUAAGCAACGAUUUGAUCAGUUAUAUUUUAGAACAUUUAAAGACAUUGAAUGCUACCCCGGAAGAGACGCUUGGCUCCGCCAGAGUGCAAGUGAGUCGUUUAGGAACUCCACAAUCUUCUCUACAGGGAGACUCGGCGCAGCUUUUCGAGCAAUACGCGGAAUUUAUUCUUAUUUCCUCUUUUUUUUUACCCGGAAAAGAUGCCGAUGACGUGCCAAACGUGUGCAAAGCUCCAUCAUACAGACUAGGAACACAUCAAAAGUCAAAGACCCUGGACACGAAAGAUGACAAAGCCAGCUGAAAGUUAAUUUUUUUUAUCUUUAAAGUUGCUGUUGGUCUAAAACGCAGGUGAUUAUGACUAUCAAAGUUGACUUUGAGGAAUGUUUGAAAGACUCUCCUCGCUUCAGGGCUGAAAUCGAGGCCGUCCAAGUGAGCGUGGGCGAACUAGAAACACGGUUAGACAAGCUGGUGAAACAAUGCCAGGCCAUGCUGGAGGCCGGCCGCGUCUACUACCAGACCAGCAAGAGCUUUGUGAGCGGUCUGCAAGGUCUUGGACACCACUGCUCUGGGGACACCAUGAUGCAGGAGUGUUUGCAGACGUUUUCCGAAAAGCUGUCCCUCAUGUUAGACGCCCAAGGGGAAGUGAUUGAUGUCACACAGAAGUCUGUCAAAAUGAAGCUCCAGAACUUUGUGAAAGAAGACGUGCGUCGCUUCAAGGACGCACGCAAGGAGUUUGAGCGCAGCAGCGAAUCCCUGGAAGGGGCGCUGGCGAGGAACGCUCAGGCCCCCCGCGGGAAGUCUCAUGAGGUGGAGGAAGCCAACAACGCACUCCUCAACGCUCGCAAGGCCUUCCGCUCCGGCGCCUUGGACUAUGUCCUGGAGAUAAACAUCAUAGAGGCCAAAAAGAAGACGGAACUCUUAAUGGCUAUGUUGUCACUGAUGGAUGCUCAGGCCCAGCUGUUCCAAAAUGGCCACCAGUCUCUGGCACAACUCGACCAGUAUCGCCAAAAAUUGACUGAAGAGCACAAGCAGUUUGUCCUAAACUCGGCACGAGAGAAGCGGGACAUGGAGCAAAGACACGCGGCCAUCAAGAAAAAGGAUGUCUCCUACGACGACUCCAUUAUGGACUUCAAUCCUGAUGCCACUGACGGGGUGGCCAUGGAGGGCUACCUCUACAAGAGGGCCAGCAAUGCCUUCAAGACCUGGAGCAGGCGUUGGUUCUCCAUUCAGAAAAAUCAGCUGGUAUAUCAGAAGAAAUUUAAGGAGCAGCCCACAGUGGUGGUGGACGACUUGCGUCUCUGCACGGUCAAGCCCAGCCCUGACAGUGAGCGCCGCUUCUGUUUUGAAGUGGUCUCGCCAUCCAAGAGCUGUCUGUUGCAGGCCGAUUCUGACAGGCAGCAGCAGGCGUGGAUGAGAGCGGUCCAGAACAGCAUCGCCUCAGCCUUUCAGGAGCACAGAGACGACGAGCACAGUCCGGUAAGAAAACACACACACACUCUUUUACCGAACCGCCUCAUCGUGACAUUGUGUUCUUUGUGGCAGCGACACCGCAGCGACUCCAUGUCGAUGAGCUACCAAAGUGGGGGUGGUGUAGCCAGUAAGGAGAACGAGGGCUUCAAGGCCCUGGAGGAGGUUCAGAACAUUGCCGGGAACAGAGAGUGCUGCGACUGCGGAACACCAGGUCCGGAUUGGGCUUCCAUCAAUCUGGGAAUCACACUCUGCAUUGUGUGUUCAGGAAUACACAGGAGCCUAGGGGUCCAUUUCUCCAAAGUGCGGUCCCUCACUUUGGACUCUUGGGAGCCAGAACUCAUUAAGCUGAUGUGUGAAUUAGGCAACAGCGUCAUCAACAGGAUCUAUGAGGCGCGCAUUGAUGAGAUUACCUUAAAGAAGCCACUUCCUUCCAGUCCCAGGGGGGACAAGGAGACGUGGAUUAAAUCCAAGUACGUGGAGAAGAAGUUCAUCCAGAAGUUUCCAGAGACCGCCCAGAACCCCUCGCAGACACACAACAGCUGCAAGAGAAAUCGGGCGGCCACACAAGACCGCAAUGUACCAAGACCGCCGCUCAAACCCAAACCAGACCGAGCAACCCUGCCUCGUUCUGCAGUGACAGGCCUAAGUGACAUCCAAAAGAACAGCGCAGUCUCGCCUAAAGAUUUGAACGACCAAGAGGAGGAUCUAAGUAUACUUCAUCCGGGGGCGCUACUGUACCGCUCGGCCGCCCUGCAGAACUUCCCCCUCAUGGCAGACGCGUUGGCUCAUGGCGCCAACGUCAACUGGGUCAAGGCGGCAGAGGAAUCCCGCACGCCACUCAUAGAAGCUGUUUCAGUGAACGCAUUGGCGGCCUGCGAGUUCCUGCUACAGAACGGCGCUGAUGUCAACCAGGCAGACAGCAAUGGGAGAGGGCCGCUUCAUCAUGCCACCAUACUGGGCCACACCGGGUUGGUGUGUCUCUUCCUGAAGCGAGGGGCAGACUACAAUGCCAGAGACAACAACCAGAAAGACCCCAUCACCAUUGCAGUGGACAGCGCCAACGCAGACAUUGUCACUUUGCUGCGCAUCGCCAAGAUGAACAGGGAGAUGCAGGAGAUGGACGGGGCACUUGGAAAAUCAGGUCUCGUAAAGGGGCAGGCAACUGGGAGCAGUGGGACAGGAAGUGGGCAGGGCCAAAGCAGGAAAAGCCUGCAGGAUUUAAAGACUCACAUAAGCAGCUGGGCUCUCGGAGGCCAAAAUGCCAAAAUUAGUUGAUAAGACAAAUGUUACAAUUAAUCAGGCUCGAACUCACAGAAGUGGGCUUGUUUUUUUUUUUUUUUGCUCUACUGGUUUUACAGUAUAGCUUUAUUUGUCUACUAUGCAGAAUAAUGCUGUCUCAUUUGAGAUUAACCAAAAGGGAAAACGGCUUCAUUCCAGUUAUGCUGUUGUGUUCCCAGUGAAGAUACACCAUCUUCCAUUGCCACAAACCAUUCUUCCAAAUUUCACUUUCUAUUUCAUAUGAUGCACAAAUACUGUCAACACAAAGGAGGUGAUCUAGUAACAUGUCAAAGAUAUAAAAAGAUUUACUCACCAGAAAUCAAUUCCCUCCUCCUCAGUCAGCCAUUGUGGACUUAACGACGUAGCCUUGUUGCUCGGAUCAACCAAUCAGGACUGGGGGGCCUGCAAGCUAGCUCUUGAGAGGUGAAUCAGAAGUCUGAUUGGCAGGGGCCAACACUCCUGAUUCUGAAGGCCCUGGGCAGAUUAACAUAUGAUAUGGUAACACAUAGAAGCUGAUAUAUGAUUGGACAAAAAAAAAAAAACGAAGAAAAAAAAACUGCAGUAUAAAAUGAAGAUAAUGUAAUGUAAUGCAAUGGAACAAAUACUACAGUUUCAGUUUGACAUGCAGGCCACCAAAUUAAGGCCUCACUAGUUAAUAUGUUGUUACUUCACGCUCGCACUUGUGUCGCAGCCUUUGAGGAACUGCAGUCAGGCUUGUGUUACGCUUCCUGUACCUGCUUUGUGCACAAACAUGAGGCCUUUGUGUUUGUUCUUGUGUUUGUGCCACCCACCCACCCCUGCUGGUCAGCGUUUGACUUGCUGUGUCUUUGUGUGUUCCUUGCACUCCUGAGACAAGGAGGUGAUCUCACCUGCUGCAAACUAUCAGGUGAUGAGACCUACCAUCACAUCUUCAGAGACUUCUCCCACAUGGCCUCUAACAACCCAGAGAAGCUGAAACGUCGCAGUGCAGAUGGCAACUUCUGAAACUGUAAAAAAAAAAAAAAAACCUCAUAUGCGGCCUUGUCAUGUGACACUCACUCGGGCGCUCAGCUGACUUUGGAGGGGAUCAACCGCUCAACAGUCAAGUCUUUGUGUGCACAACAAUGGAGUCCAAAAUGAGAUUGGCAUGACGUGUCUUCAAUUCUGCUUGUUUUCAAGUCUGUUUUUUUUUCUCUCCCAUUUCUGUUGCUAUAGGAAUAACAAAUUUAAAUCAUAUCUAUUUUGUCAAAAAUACUUCUUCACCACAGAACCCGAAAUAAAGACUUCAUUUUGAAAAAUAGACUGGACGGUGAGUUUGGUGCUUCCCUUGCUAGUCAAAUAAUCUAAACUGUACAGCAAAAUGGCACAAAAAUAUCUUUGUUUUAAUCAAUAGGACGUACAAAACAUCAGAUUUCAUAUUGAAUAUAAGACAUGAAUCACACUGGGUAUUCCUCCAUUUAACGUUAACUUAGGUUCAAUAGCCUUUUUCCACCAAAUGAACUUUUCUCAUUAAUCUGUCCUCGGAAUGUUGGUGGAAAAGGCCUGCGACCUUCGUGAGGAUAAGCGGUAUAGAAAAUAGAUGGAUGGAUGGGAAGUGUGGAAUUCAAGGGAAUGUCAGGGGGAAUUUAGAGGGUUUUAAAAAAGCUGUACGUUUUAGUGUUGGAAAUGGUUUCAAUCGGUUGAGAAGUGUGAAAGUUAUUUUUAAGAACAAAAGGUAAUGCUACAGAAAAUGUGGGAAUUUGGGGGGAAAUGUUUAAUUUUUGGCAUGUAGAAAACUGUUGGCCUGAAUGUUUUAACAAUGGGAUGGUUUCAAUGGGUUGAGAAAUGGAAAACUGAAAAAUGCCAUUCAUUUGAAGGGGAAUUUGGAGGUCAGGAAUAUGUCAAAUUACGAGCAUGCCAGGAAUAUUUGGAAUGUUAAAAAUAGAUAGACUUAAUGAUUUGAAUGAGCUGAAAGUUGUGGUGUGGAAAUGGUUUGAAUUGCUUGAGAAAGCGGGAAUCAUACUGAAUGUGAAAAUGUCCCAGUCGGAAUGUUUUGAUGCUGGAAUGGUUUGAAAGGUGUAAAAAAAAAAGAAAAAAAGUAGAAUUCCCGGGAAAAUCUGGAAUUUUUUGAACGUCAAAAAUAGAAAGUCUGAAUGUUUUAACUGAGCUGAAGGUUUGAGAAAUGUGAACGCUGUAAGACUUCUUAAUAUGAAAGGGAAGGGGUGCUACGGAAAAUAUGGUAUUCCAG